UACAACAUAGCGUUAAUGCAUCAGAUCUCAUUAAAACUCCACAGUUUAGCAUGCUCAAGAUAGAGCUGGGAUGGGUGACCACCUGGAAUGUCAUGUUGUUUUAC
rnacentral:rRNA from 1 species